rnacentral:rRNA from 1 species
CCCGGGAACUACGAGCAAAGCUUAAAACCCAAAGGACUUGACGGUACCCCACCCACCUAGAGGAGCCUGUCCUAUAAUCGAUAAUCCCCGUUUAACCUCACCAUUUUUAGCCUCUCAGCCUGUAUACUUCCGUCGUCAGCUUACCCCGUGAGUGAUUCUCAGUUAGCUCAAUGCCCAUAUACUAAUACGCCAACACGUCAGGUCAAGGUGCAGCAAAUAAAGUGGAAAGAGAUGGGCUACACUCUCUAUUUUAGAAAAUACAGAAGACUAUUUAUGAAACCUAGUCAGAAGGCGGAUUUAGCAGUAAAAAGAGACAAGAGUGCUCUUUUUAACACGGCACUGGGGUGUGUACACACCGCCCGUCACUCUCUUCAAAGCUAAUAUUUAGUCCUUGACACACUUAAGCACUACAGAAGAGACAAGUCGUAACAUGGUAAGUAUACCGGAAGGUGUGCUUGGAAA